CUUCUCAGAUUUUUUUUUCCCUCAUUAUUCUCCAUACCUAAAAUUUUUCAGAUUUUGGCAUCCUCUCUCUCUUCUAAACCUAAUAUUUCUUCUCCCCCUUCUCUCUUACAAAAUAGCCGCCGCCGACCACCACCCCGGCGAGCCACCAUCUCCACGAAUCGAACCCCACCACGCCACCGCAGAGCCACCACAGUCCCACUCCCUUUUCCCUUUUCUUCCCACUGCCCUUUUCCCCUCCAACCACAACUCCGCCUACGAGAAACCAUAGCCACAAGCCACCAGCUGCCCGUUCCUCCCUUUCCCGUCACUGCUCCGAUGAGCUAAGACCAGCGAACAAUAACUCCGCCACCAACCACCGCGAAACAACCAGCAACCAAACAACACCACAACCAGCAACCAAACGACACCACCACUAGUCCACUUCUUCUUCCUCGACACCACUGCCAAACAACACCAUUCAUAAGCAAAGCUCUUUCAUUUGCUUCUUUGAUUUCCAUCUCUCUGUUUCCUCCAUUCAUUUCAUUACUUAGUAUUCUCUUUUUCUUCCAUUAUUCCAUUCCAUAUAUAUUCCUCUUAUUCUUUUGCUCUGUUUCUUUUUCUUCAAAAGGUAUCUGAAGUUAUUUUUUGAAGAUGACAUUCAAAAGAAGUUCAAAUAGCUUCUUAAAUUCUUUGUUUAUAUAUUUUUUUUACUUUCUUAAAUUAUGCAAGCAUAAAAUAUAGUGAAACUUUACUUUUUAGGGUGUAGGUUAGUGGUAUUUAUUUAUGAUCUGCUUAGGUGAUUUAAAUUUUAUGUGUUUUAGACAAAUUAAUAUUAGACAGUUAUUAUUUUUGUAGCUAAUAUUCUUAUAGUUAUCAUGUUUUGCUAGAGUUUUAAUUCAA